rnacentral:rRNA from 1 species
GACGAACGCUGGCGGCGUGGAUUAGGCAUGCAAGUCGAACGGUAUCAUCCUUUCGGGGGUGAGAGAGUGGCGAACUGGUGAGUAACACGUAGGUUAUCUACCCUCAAGACGGGGACAACCCAGGGAAACUUGGGCUAAUACCGGAUGUGAGCAACUUUUAGUUGUUUGAAAGGUGGCGUAAGCUGUCGCUUGGGGAUGAGCCUGCGUCCUAUUAGUUAGUUGGUGAGGUAACGGCUCACCUAGGCAAUGAUAGGUAGGCGGCCUUAACGGGUGGUCGCCCACACUGGGAUUGAGAUACGGCCCAGACUCCUACGGGAGGCAGCAGUCGAGAAUAGUCUACAAUGGUCGGAAGACUGAUAGUGCGACGCCGCGUGAACGAUGAAUCCCUUCGGGGUUAAAGUUCUUUUAUAUGUGAGCAGUGCUUCUUAUAUUAACAGUAUGGGGAGAGAGAUAUUAGCAUAUAGAAUAAGCAACGGCUAACUCCGUGCCAGCAGCCGACGGU